rnacentral:rRNA from 1 species
GCAUCCAGACUUUGAUUAUGGCUCAGGAUGAACGCUAGCGGCAGGCCCUAAUACAUGCAAGUCGAACGGGAUUGAGAGCUUGCUUUCAUGAGGGUGGCGUACGGGUGCGUAACGCGUAUGCAACCUACCUUCAUCAGGGGGAUAGCCCGAAGAAAUUCGGAUUAACACCGCAUAAAAACACAACCUGGCAUCAGGAAAUGUUCAAAUAUUUAUAGGAUGAAGAUGGGCAUGCGUGUCAUUAGCUAGUUGGUGAGGUAACGGCUCACCAAGGCGACGAUGACUAGGGGAUCUGAGAGGAUGACCCCCCACACUGGUACUGAGACACGGACCAGACUCCUACGGGAGGCAGCAGUAAGGAAUAUUGGUCAAUGGAGGCAACUCUGAACCAGCCAUGCCGCGUGCAGGAAGACAGCCCUAUGGGUCGUAAACUGCUUUUAUACGGGAAUAAACCUUGAUUCGUGAAUCAAGCUGAAUGUACCGUAAGAAUAAGGAUCGGCUAACUCCGUGCCAGCAGCCGCGGUAAUACGGAGGAUCCAAGCGUUAUCCGGAUUUAUUGGGUUUAAAGGGAGCGUAGGCGGCUUGUUAAGUCAGGGGUGAAAGACGGUGGCUCAACCAUCGCAGUGCCUUUGAUACUGACGAGCUUGAAUAUAGUUGAGGUAGGCGGAAUGUGACAAGUAGCGGUGAAAUGCAUAGAUAUGUCACAGAACACCGAUUGCGAAGGCAGCUUACUAAGCUAUUAUUGACGCUGAGGCUCGAAAGCGUGGGGAUCAAACAGGAUUAGAUACCCUGGUAGUCCACGCCCUAAACGAUGAUAACUCGAUGUUGGCGAUAUACAGUCAGCGUCCAAGCGAAAGCGUUAAGUUAUCCACCUGGGGAGUACGCCCGCAAGGGUGAAACUCAAAGGAAUUGACGGGGGCCCGCACAAGCGGAGGAGCAUGUGGUUUAAUUCGAUGAUACGCGAGGAACCUUACCCGGGCUUGAAAGUUAGUGAAUCAUUUAGAGAUAGAUGAGUCCGCAAGGACACGAAACUAGGUGCUGCAUGGCUGUCGUCAGCUCGUGCCGUGAGGUG